CCGAGGUUUGAUGAGGUACGAAUCGGCCGAGGUGUGCCGAGUGGAACAAACACAUUGCAAGUGAUUUGAAGAAAAAAGUUUGACACAAAUCGUCCGAGGCGCACACGAUUCCACAGGCGUUGAGUGUCCAUUGACCUCCCAUAGAUAUCAACCCAGAUGCUGGCAAAACGUCCUUGUAGCGGGUGUUUAUUACAAAAUAAGUACUUCUUAGACACACAGUGUGUUGCUGCAGUAUGAUCCGAUCCAGAGAAGGUUAUUUUUCUCGUCAUAACUCAGGCUGUGCGGUUCGAUCAUGUUCUUUUCAUUCCUCAGUAGAUAUGACAGAAAGUGGCCAUCCUUGUCGAUUAUGUGUACUGAUUUGGUCUUCAUAUCACAGACAAGGAUAUUUGACAGAGUGUCUGUACAGUUUCCACGUGGAGAAAUCCGUGGCCCUGAAUGUCCUGUGUAGGUAAAGCGAAGUGUACCAUCACGGUCUGUUACCACCACACGGCGCCAAUCGGACACGAUGAUAUCCCCAUUACGGUUUUCGGAAAGAUAUCCAGGAAACCUGUACAACAUCUCGCCAUUGUUGUCGUACUGGAUGGUCUGGGGUGGUUGUCCAUCGCUGUUGUAUCGAGUUAUCUUUCCUUUGGAUUUACUUUUAUCCCUAUCAUGAGAUAUAUGUGUCCCGACUAGUAUAUCUCCACUUGAUGGGGAACAGAAGACAGAAAGAGGUUCCCAUGAUUCUUCUAGUGAUAUCAAUGUAUUUCCUUGCUGGUCGUUACUCAAUUUAUUGAUGUGAAAGUCUUCAGCUAUAUAAAAGAGUGUCCCAUCAUUCGCCAUCGUGUGUACUUGAUAGCUUUGUUGUGAUAUAUCUUUCAGGUGAAAAGAAAUAGCACCUUUUGUGUCUGCUAAGACGAGGUUAGAGCCAUCGCUGAUCCAGAGUUGGUCUGCCACAAAGGAAAGGUUGCUUCCUGAAUCUCAUGAAAGGGAAACUGUACAAGAGAAUUCUGAUAAGAUGAAAGGGCUCCAUCGUGGUCUCCACAAAUCUGUUGACAGAUUCCAAGAAUUCGCCAAGAUAUAUCUCCUAAUGGUUCAGCAAAAUAAUUUACCUGGUUAUAAUGCAGGAGGUUAUACAGUUCAUCAAGAUAUUUUUGCUGUUCAUGGAGAUUACCACGGUAACACAAUACUAAUAACAUGAGUGUCAUGACAUACGGAGGUACAUUGAUGAAAUUUCUUCUUGUCACUCUGUAUUCUAAUUCUAAUUCUUCUUCUAACAUAAUCCGCUGUAAUUUGAUAUGCAUAGCGAAGGCUCUAGCCAUUUUAUCACUAAGUGUUUGUCCCCCUACUUCCUCGGUAUAUCUCUCUUCAUUCACAAAGUCGGGAAACAUGAGAUAAGGUUGUGCAAUAAUUCCUCUUGUAAUGUUAAGACAUGAUACUGCAUCCAUAUACUUACCGAUUGAAUAUAGGAAUAAUGGUAAAUAAAUUCUAUCAGAUGCAAACCCCAUGUUUUGACUAACUUUCAACAAAUUUAAACAUGUGUACAUAACUUUCAAUCUUCUUUUGUUAUAAAUGUAGAUAGAAGUAUUGGAUAAGUCAUACACAAUGUAUCUGAUAAUUGAUGAUAUAAAUUUCCUGGAACCAGCACGUUCCCAUUGACUGACGUGUGGUGAAUUUAAGAUCCUGACUGCAGAACACAAAGAAGUAAAAAUAUUUUGUGUAUUAGAAUAUGUCCUAUCAAACAAAUCAAGCAUAUGGAUUUCGUAGCAGAACCCUUGAUCAAUUUGAAAUUCUGAUAUAAUAUCAGAUUCAUCUGUACUUAACACAUACUGCCUGUUAAAAAUAGCUUGAGUUAGGCAAUCCCUGAGUGAAUGGCAAUGCAAUAAGCAUGCAGUUCCUAGCUUGUACAUCUCAAACAGGCGAUCAUACACUUACUGUUGUGAAUAUCCAUAUAUUUUUGAAAUGAACAUAUUAUUUUCUGCAAUAAAAAAGUUUGGAAGAUGACCACGAUACACACUUGACAAUAAAACCUUGAAGCACAACCAGAAUCCUGACAAUAGACUUGAUGGAUUCCAGUCAAUGACGGUAUUUCUCUGAAUCACCCAGAAUAAAACUGUUUUCAUAAAAUACGAACAAAGGAGAGGCUGUCCAUUUGUAUCCUCAAUAGUCAAGACUUCUUUUAAAAAUAUUUUUAACAAUCCAUAGCACAUGAACUGUGUGUGAUUCAUACAGUAUACAAGUUUUUG